rnacentral:rRNA from 1 species
UACAUGAGGAGCAAGCGUUACCCACAUUGACUGGGUGUAUUAAAUACAUAGGUGAUUACAAAUACUACUUUAAAAGUCAAUUAAAAACCUAAUAUAGUAGUUUUUUUGUAAAUGAUAAUUAAAUAUAAGGAUAGGAGAUUUAUAGAACAACGAUUAAAUGUAGUUACACUAUAGAGCUUGCCAUAAACUAAGGUGCUUUCCUAUAUUUAAUUAUAGCUGAUGUAUGAAAGUACGGGGAUCGAUAAGGAUUAGUUUCCCUAGUAGUCCGUACUGUAAAAGAUGAAUACUUCAUGAAUUAAAUAUUCAGGGAUAGCUAACGCAAAGUAUUCUACUCGGGGAGUAUAAUCGCAAGAUUAAAACUUAACUGAAUUGGCGGGAAUUUGUUCGAACGGUGGAACAUGUGGUUUAAUGCGAUAAUCCACGCAAAAUCUUACCAACGUUUCAGGCUUUAUCAGUAGUAUGAUUAAUAUCAAAAUUAUAUGAUUUAGUACGGAAUUGCAUGGCUGUCGUCAGUUCGUGCUGUGAAGUUUAGGAUUAAGUUCUUUUUAACGAAUGCAACCCUAUAAGUAAGUUUUUAUUUUAAAAUAACUUAAUUUUUUAAAUAUACUUAUUUAAUCUAUAAUUAGAAUAUAUUGAAUCUAUUCUGUAUAUUCUUUUAUAGGGGUUAUAGGCUGAAGUCAAGUCCCUAUGGUCUUUAUACGUUGGGCUACACACGUGUUACAAGGGUAAAUACAAAAAGACGCAAAAAAGUAAUUUUGAGCAAACCUUUAAAAAUUACCUUAGUUCAGAUUGUUUUAUGAAAUUCUAAAACAUGAAGAUGAAAUCGUUAGUAAUUGUAAAUUAUUAUGUUACAGUGAAACAAUAGUCAAAUUUUGCACACACCGCCCAUCACGCUCGGAAAGUCAAUAAUAGCGGAAGAUUUGAAAAACUCUGCGCAAAACUAAUAUUAUUUUUAUAUUAGUUGUCAUUAUAUUAUUUUUUAAUGGCAUGGUUGAAAAGUAGUAUCCAAUCUAGUAUUGGUAAUUUGAGUGAAGUUG